GGCAUGAUGGCCGAGCGGUCUAAGGCGCUGCACUCAAGUGUUAACUCAACUUGUCGCUUAUAAGUGAUUCCCAUUGCAGUCUCGCAAGAGGCGUGAGUUCGAGUCUCACUCAUGUCA